rnacentral:rRNA from 1 species
UGGGGGAUAUUGCACAAUGGGCGAAAGCCUGAUGCAGCGACGCCGCGUGGGGGAUGAAGGCUUUCGGGUUGUAAACCUCUUUCGCUAUCGAACAAGGCCCGCUUAGGGUGGGUUGAGGGUAGGUGGAGAAGAAGCGCCGGCUAACUACGUGCCAGCAGCCGCGGUAAUACGUAGGGCGCGAGCGUUGUCCGGAAUUAUUGGGCGUAAAGGGCUUGUAGGCGGCUUGUUGCGCCUGCUGUGAAAACGCGGGGCUUAACUUCGCGCGUGCAGUGGGUACGGGCAGGCUUGAGUGUGGUAGGGGUGACUGGAAUUCCAGGUGUAGCGGUGGAAUGCGCAGAUAUCUGGAGGAACACCGAUGGCGAAGGCAGGUCACAGGGCCAUUACUGACGCUGAGGAGCGAAAGCAUGGGUAGCGAACAGG